rnacentral:rRNA from 1 species
UGGCGGACGGGUGAGUAAUGUCCGGGAAACUGCCUGAUGGAGGGGGAUAACUACUGGAAACGGUAGCUAAUACCGCAUAACGUCGCAAGACCAAGAGGGGACCUUCGGGCCUCUUGCCAUCAGAUGUGCCCAGAUGGGAUUAGCUAGUAGGUGGGGUAACGGCUCACCUAGGCGACGAUCCCUAGCUGGUCUGAGAGGAUGACCAGCCACACUGGAACUGAGACACGGUCCAG